CUGCGAGUGAAGAGGGAAGAGCUCAUCAUUGGAAUCUGGCAGCCUCGCGCUGUCCGAGUUGUAGAUGAGAAGAGUAGGCCAUCUGGACUGCGUGGCGUCCAAGUACAAUAGGCCGUCAGUGGGACAUCAUAGAGGGUGACAAUCCCGUCCUUGAUGCCAACGUACGAGUCCUUUACGAUGCCUAUCUCGGAGAGUCAAGCAGUUUGGGAUUUGCUGCUUAAACAUGGGAGGUAGAUUCCUUCCAAAGCUAAAUACAGGCAAGAGACCGAUAGAGAACAAGUACCGCAAGGGAAAGAUGAAAUAGAACUCAGUGAAGGGAGUCAAAAGGCGUGAAAUUGUUGCGAGAGAAGCGAUUCAAGUCAGCGUAGCUGGGCCCAUUAAGCCUCUGCGCUUUGGACCAGCUUUGCCAGCGGUCUUGUCUUAGAGACUUGACUUAGAGUGCCCAGCCCGGUCUAACGGGCAGACCUACCAAGGUUAGCGGUAUGCUGGUGGAAUGGCUUGCAAUCGACCCGUCUUGAAACACGGACCAAGGAGUCUAACAUGCAUGCGAGUAUAAGGGUGGAAAACCCGUAUGCGCAAAGAAAGUGACAGCGUGUAGCUGCGAAUGACCUGAUGACCAGACAAGCAAUAUUAUGUCCCUCGUACGGUCAUUGCCCAAGUCCCAUGGUCAGAUCCCAUGGACAUGGAGUUGGAGCAUGCAUGCUAGGACCCGAAAGAUGGUGAACUAUGCCUGGACAAAGCGAAGCCAAAGGAAACUCUGGUGGAGGCUUGUAGCGAUUCUGACGUGCAAAUCGAUCGUCUGAUCUGGGUAUAGGGGCGAAAGAC
rnacentral:rRNA from 1 species